rnacentral:rRNA from 1 species
UACAGAGGGUGCGAGCGUUAAUCGGAAUUACUUGGCGUAAAGCGCGCGUAGGCGGCUUUGCAAGUCGGGUGUGAAAUCCCCAGGCUUAACCUGGGAACUGCAUUCGAGACUGCAUUGCUAGAGUAUGGGAGAGGGAAGUGGAAUUUCCGGUGUAGCGGUGAAAUGCGUAGAUAUGACAUAGAACACCAAUUGCGAAGGCAGCUUACUACACAGUUAUUGACGCUGAGGCACGAAAGCGUGGGGAUCAAACAGG